rnacentral:rRNA from 1 species
CAGUAGCCGCGGUAAAACGUAGGUGGCAAGCGUUGUCCGGAAUUAUUGGGCGUAAAGGGCUCGCAGGCGGUUUCUUAAGUCUGAUGUGAAAGCCCCCGGCUCAACCGGGGAGGGUCAUUGGAAACUGGGAAACUUGAGUGCGGAAGAGGAGAGUGGAAUUCCACGUGUAGCGGUGAAAUGCGUAGAGAUGUGGAGGAGCACCAGUGGCGAAGGCGACUCUCUGGUCUGUAACUGACGCUGAGGAGCGAAAGCGUGGGGAGCGAACAGGAUUAGAUACCCCUGUAGUCCAUGUCUCUUAUAC